CCCUAACACUUUCCCCUCCCCACCCACACCAUCUCCCGGCGGCGGCUACCGGCCUUGUCCCCUAAACCAGUUCGGCUCCAGAUGCUACGUUUCUAGAUGAUGAAGGAAGGUCAGAUUCUUUCUGGAUUCGGACUGGGAGAAGCAAGAGAAAGGUGCCAAUUUCGUUCUGUCUUCGGAUUCGAAGAAGAAACGGAUCAAUUUCGAUUUGUAUUAGAAAAAGGAGUUGUUUUUAUAUGUCUGCCUCUCGUGAGAUAAUAGUAAAUCGGUCGGUUUACGGAUUCUGUACCGGCUUGAAGAAGAUUCGGAAACCUCCUCCUUCUCUGUCUUGGGAGUAGGGAGUGGGAUCAGAGUUCUUUUACUAGUAGGAUUGGAGGAGUCUAUAACAAGUUCAGGCUGGGCGUUGACUAUUGUUUCCAGAUCAUCGUUUCAAUACUUACUUUGCUUAUUGCAUCGCCAUGGAGCUUAAUAGGGGUUGCUGCGGCCGACGUGAUUCGAAAAGAGAAGCUAGUACCGGGGGCUCCCUAAGCGAGCUGCCUUAUGAAGUACAAGCUUGUAAUGGGGACAGGCUAAGCGAGCUGCCUGCUGACCUGCUGCUCAACAUUCUGGAGAGGGUGGGUAUGCUUGAUGCAAUAAAAACUUGCAUACUUUCGAGGAAAAUGCAGAAGCUGCCCACUAUGCUCUCACAGAUCGUCAUUGAUCUCAGCUCUCACGAUCUAGUUCAAAUGAAUGGUGUCGUGGCUGAUGUGACAGACAAGAUCCUUAGUACGAGGUCUCCGCAGAUCACCAUUCGCAAGCUGAAGCUCAAAUUUUUCCUGAGCCCUUCUCGCUGUCUCUCCAUCGGCAAAUCUGUUGGCGCAGCCAUGGUGACGCAGAAAUUGGAUGCAGCCGAGUUUGAGAUCUUGUCGCCAAGGGAUCUCCAUCUUUGCACUGAUGCCUAUCGCGUGCUCUUUGCUAAGCAGUUCAAUAAUUUUGUUCGUGAUUGUCCAGAUGCAUUUGCUGGUCUCACACGGCUGCAUUUACGGAAUAUGAGAUUUGGUAAAUCAGACAUACCCAUCAUCCUAAGCUAUUGCAAGGUGCUGGAGUCACUAUCUUUCUUAAUGUGUGACGCGGGGAUCCGUUCGGUUCUACAUGUAGAGCAUGCUCGACUCGUCGAGCUUGUUAUCUCCUAUGGAAAAUUCAAAACAGUGGAGCUCAAUCGCCUACCAAAGCUCAAACGGAUGACCUACAAUAAUUGGCCCUAUGAUGAAAAUCCAUUGGUUCUUGGUGUUCUCCCUCAGCUUUCAAACCUCAGUCUUGGUGAUGCAUGUAUUUCUCAGAAGACCCUCAAGCUAAGCCAGCUGCUAGCUACUGUCCCUUCUGUUAGUGAUCUGUCUCUGGAAUUUCGAAGUGAAAAGAUUUGGAUUCAACCAGAAUGCCCCAAAGAGCUUGCUCCUGUGCUUGCUAAGUUGCGGUUUAUUAAUCUGGAUAAUCUUCCUGAAGAAUGUGAUAUCUCUUGGACAAUGUUCCUUCUUGAAGCUGCACCAUCUGUAGAGGACCUUUCCAUCACAGUAUGGGAUCAUAAGUGCCGACAGGAGUCACAAAAUAGUUACUCAAUGAAAACAGAUGUGAAGUGGGAACCAUCUAAUCCAAAUUUUAAGCACAAGAAUCUGGCGACGCUAACUAUCUAUGGCUUCCAGUCCGAUGACAAUUUCAUGGGAUACGUCAGGCGUGUCAUGCAAGCUGCGGUGAACAUCAAGAAGGUGUCUCUGCACGACAGGAAGGUGUGCACGCUUUGCACUGACAAGUUUCCCCAUGCUGACGCUCGUCCUUCAAGCUAUCCUCAAACCAGCGUGCAGAAGGAUUCAUUGAGGAAGAAGAUCACAGAGGCAUCCUCGGAGGCUUCUCGGGCUGUGAUUCAGUUCAGCUCGUAAGGUCAAAGUCUUCAUAAAUCAAUAAGUCAUUCAUGGCAUCGCCAUGAUCUAUCCUCUAGGAAGGAGUUUCCCGAACUCCAAAAUCCGUUGGUAGUCGUCAGCGCCAUUGCUUUUCUGCUGAACCCGAACUUGUGUCGUAGCCUAAUUGGCUACAUAUAUAUUUGUUGGAACAGCUCAUUUAUAAUCAAAAUAAGCACGACUACCCGUGUCCAUGUGCCUUGUUGUAAGUGCUCAUUCGUGAGAAGGUGGUGCAGCAAGUGCUUUUGUUGAAUAAAGUCAAUAUUC
rnacentral:rRNA from 1 species